GACGAACGCUGGCGGCGUGCUUAACACAUGCAAGUCGAACGGAAAGGCCCUGCUUUUGUGGGGUGCUCGAGUGGCGAACGGGUGAGUAACACGUGAGUAACCUGCCCUUGACUUUGGGAUAACUUCAGGAAACUGGGGCUAAUACCGGAUAGGAGCUCCUGCUGCAUGGUGGGGGUUGGAAAGUUUCGGCGGUUGGGGAUGGACUCGCGGCUUAUCAGCUUGUUGGUGGGGUAGUGGCUUACCAAGGCUUUGACGGGUAGCCGGCCUGAGAGGGUGACCGGCCACAUUGGGACUGAGAUACGGCCCAGACUCCUACGGGGGGCAGCAGUGGGGAAUAUUGCACAAUGGGCGGAAGCCUGAUGCAGCAACGCCGCGUGCGGGAUGACGGCCUUCGGGUUGUAAACCGCUUUCGCCUGUGACGAAGCGUGAGUGACGGUAAUGGGUAAAGAAGCACCGGCUAACUACGUGCCAGCAGCCGCGGUGAUACGUAGGGUGCGAGCGUUGUCCGGAUUUAUUGGGCGUAAAGGGCUCGUAGGUGGUUGAUCGCGUCGGAAGUGUAAUCUUGGGGCUUAACCCUGAGCGUGCUUUCGAUACGGGUUGACUUGAGGAAGGUAGGGGAGAAUGGAAUUCCUGGUGGAGCGGUGGAAUGCGCAGAUAUCAGGAGGAACACCAGUGGCGAAGGCGGUUCUCUGGGCCUUUCCUGACGCUGAGGAGCGAAAGCGUGGGGAGCGAACAGGCUUAGAUACCCUGGUAGUCCACGCUGUAAACGGUGGGUACUAGGUGUGGGGUCCAUUCCACGGGUUCCGUGCCGUAGCUAACGCUUUAAGUACCCCGCCUGGGGAGUACGGCCGCAAGGCUAAAACUCAAAGGAAUUGACGGGGCCCCGCACAAGCGGCGGAGCAUGCGGAUUAAUUCGAUGCAACGCGUAGAACCUUACCUGGGUUUGACAUGGAUCGGGAGUGCUCAGAGAUGGGUGUGCCUCUUUUGGGGUCGGUUCACAGGUGGUGCAUGCCUGUCGUCAGCUCGUGUCGUGAGAUGUUGGGUUAAGUCCCGCAACGAGCGCAACCCUUGUUCACUGUUGCCAGCACGUUAUGGUGGGGACUCAGUGGAGACCGCCGGGGUCAACUCGGAGGAAGGUGGGGAUGACGUCAAGUCAUCAUGCCCCUUAUGUCCAGGGCUUCACGCAUGCUACAAUGGCUGGUACAGAGAGUGGCGAGCCUGUGAGGGUGAGCGAAUCUCGGAAAGCCGGUCUCAGUUCGGAUUGGGGUCUGCAACUCGACCUCAUGAAGUCGGAGUCGCUAGUAAUCGCAGAUCAGCAACGCUGCGGUGAAUACGUUCCCGGG
rnacentral:rRNA from 1 species